GCGUUGUUCGGAAUUACUGGGCGUAAAGAGCGCGUAGGCGGUUUAGUAAGUUGGAAGUGAAAGCCCGAGGCUUAACCUCGGAAUUGCUUUCAAAACUGCUAGGCUAGAGUGUAGUAGGGGAUGAUGGAAUUCCUAGUGUAGAGGUGAAAUUCUUAGAUAUUAGGAGGAACACCGGUGGCGAAGGCGGUCAUCUGGGCUACAACUGACGCUGAGGCGCGAAAGCGUG
rnacentral:rRNA from 1 species